CCCCCCGUAGUUUAAUGGAUAAAACUCCGGACUUCUAAGCCGGCUAUGUAGGUUCGAUUCCUGCCGGGGGGACAA
rnacentral:tRNA from 1 species